rnacentral:rRNA from 1 species
AGUCGAACGAUGAAGCUGUGCUUGCACAGUGGAUUAGUGGCGAACGGGUGAGUAACACGUGAGUAACCUGCCCUUCACUUUGGGAUAACUCCGAGAAAUCGGGGCUAAUACCGGAUAUGACUACUGGCCGCAUGGUUGGUGGUGGAAAGUUUUUCGGUGAGGGAUGGGCUCGCGGCCUAUCAGUUUGUUGGUGAGGUAGUGGCUCACCAAGGCGAUGACGGGUAGCCGGCCUGAGAGGGCGACCGGCCACACUGGGACUGAGACACGGCCCAGACUCCUACGGGAGGCAGCAGUGGGGAAUAUUGCACAAUGGGCGAAAGCCUGAUGCAGCGACGCCGCGUGGGGGAUGACGGCCUUCGGGUUGUAAACCUCUUUCAGCAAGGAAGAAGCGAAAGUGACGGUACUUGCAGAAGAAGCGCCGGCUAACUACGUGCCAGCAGCCGCGGUAAUACGUAGGGCGCAAGCGUUGUCCGGAAUUAUUGGGCGUAAAGAGCUUGUAGGUGGCUUGUCGCGUCUGCCGUGAAAACCCGAGGCUUAACCUUGGGCGUGCGGUGGGUACGGGCAGGCUAGAGUGCGGUAGGGGAGACUGGAAUUCCUGGUGUAGCGGUGAAAUGCGCAGAUAUCA